rnacentral:rRNA from 1 species
CCGAUUGACUAAGGUUUCCAGAGGAAGGCUCGUCCGCUCUGGGUUAGUCGGGUCCUAAGCUGAGGCCGACAGGCGUAGGCGAUGGAUAACAGGUUGAUAUUCCUGUACCACCUAUAAUCGUUUUAAUCGAUGGGGGGACGCAGUAGGAUAGGCGAAGCGUGCGAUUGGAUUGCACGUCUAAGCAGUAAGGCUGAGUAUUAGGCAAAUCCGGUACUCAUUAAGGCUGAGCUGUGAUGGGGAGAAGACAUUGUGUCUUCGAGUCGUUGAUUUCACACUGCCGAGAAAAGCCUCUAGAUAGAAAAUAGGUGCCCGUACCGCAAACCGACACAGGUAGUCAAGAUGAGAAUUCUAAGGUGAGCGAGCGAACUCUCGUUAAGGAACUCGGCAAAAUGACCCCGUAACUUCGGGAGAAGGGGUGCUCUUUAGGGUUAACGCCCAGAAGAGCCGCAGUGAAUAGGCCCAAGCGACUGUUUAUCAAAAACACAGGUCUCUGCUAAACCGUAAGGUGAUGUAUAGGGGCUGACGCCUGCCCGGUGCUGGAAGGUUAAGAGGAGUGGUUAGCUUCUGCGAAGCUACGAAUCGAAGCCCCAGUAAACGGCGGCCGUAACUAUAACGGUCCUAAGGUAGCGAAAUUCCUUGUCGGGUAAGUUCCGACCCGCACGAAAGGCGUAACGAUUUGGGCACUGUCUCAACGAGAGACUCGGUGAAAUCAUAGUACCUGUGAAGAUGCAGGUUACCCGCGACAGGACGGAAAGACCCCGUGGAGCUUUACUGUAGCCUGAUAUUGAAAUUCGGCACAGCUUGUACAGGAUAGGUAGGAGCCUUUGAAACGUGAGCGCUAGCUUACGUGGAGGCGCUGGUGGGAUACUACCCUAGCUGUGUUGGCUUUCUAACCCGCACCACUUAUCGUGGUGGGAGACAGUGUCAGGCGGGCAGUUUGACUGGGGCGGUCGCCUCCUAAAAGGUAACGGAGGCGCUCAAAGGUUCCCUCAGAAUGGUUGGAAAUCAUUCAUAGAGUGUAAAGGCAUAAGGGAGCUUGACUGCGAGACCUACAAGUCGAGCAGGGUCGAAAGACGGACUUAGUGAUCCGGUGGUUCCGCAUGGAAGGGCCAUCGCUCAACGGAUAAAAGCUACCCCGGGGAUAACAGGCUUAUCUCCCCCAAGAGUUCACAUCGACGGGGAGGUUUGGCACCUCGAUGUCGGCUCAUCGCAUCCUGGGGCUGUAGUCGGUCCCAAGGGUUGGGCUGUUCGCCCAUUAAAGCGGUACGCGAGCUGGGUUCAGAACGUCGUGAGACAGUUCGGUCCCUAUCCGUCGUGGGCGUAGGAAAUUUGAGAGGAGCUGUCCUUAGUACGAGAGGACCGGGAUGGACAUACCUCUGGUGUACCAGUUGUCGUGCCAACGGCAUAGCUGGGUAGCUAUGUGUGGACGGGAUAAGUGCUGAAAGCAUCUAAGCAUGAAGCCCCCCUCAAGAUGAGAUUUCCCAACUUCGGUUAUAAGAUCCCUCAAAGAUGAUGAGGUUAAUAGGUUCGAGGUGGAAGCAUGGUGACAUGUGGAGCUGACGAAUACUAAUCGAUCGAAGACUUAAUCAA